CCUACGGGAGGCAGCAGUGGGGAAUUUUGGACAAUGGGCGCAAGCCUGAUCCAGCUAUGCAGCGUGUGGGAUGACGGCCCUCGGGUUGUAAACCACUUUAGUAGAGGGCGAAAAGGGACUAUCGAAUAAAUAGAUCUGCUGACGGUACUCUAAGCAUAAGCACCGGCUAACUACGUGCCAGCAGCCGCGGGAAUACGUCGGGUGCGAGCGUUAAUCGGAAUUACUGGGCGUAAAGGGUGGGCAGGCGGCUGGGUAAGACAGAUGUGAAAGCUCCGGGCUUAACCUGGGAACUGCAUAUGAGACUGACUGGCUAGAGUGCGGCAGAGGGAGGUGGAAUUCCACGUGUAGCAGUGAAAUGCGUAGAUAUGUGGAAGAACACCGAUGGCGAAGGCAGCCUCCUGGGACGCAACUGACGCUGAGACACGAAAGCGUGGGGAGCAAACAGGAUUAGAUACCCCAGUAGUC
rnacentral:rRNA from 1 species